rnacentral:rRNA from 1 species
AACGAACGCUGGCGGCAGGCCUUACACAUGCAAGUCGAGCGCACCUUCGGGUGAGCGGCGGACGGGUUAGUAACGCGUGGGAACGUGCCCUUCUCUACGGAAUAGCCUCUGGAAACGGAGAGUAAUACCGUAUACGCCCUUUGGGGGAAAGAUUUAUCGGAGAAGGAUCGGCCCGCGUUAGAUUAGGUAGUUGGUGGGGUAACGGCCUACCAAGCCUACGAUCUAUAGCUGGUUUUAGAGGAUGAUCAGCAACACUGGGACUGAGACACGGCCCAGACUCCUACGGGAGGCAGCAGUGGGGAAUCUUAGACAAUGGGGGCAACCCUGAUCUAGCCAUGCCGCGUGAGUGAUGAAGGCCUUAGGGUCGUAAAGCUCUUUCGCCUGUGAUGAUAAUGACAGUAGCAGGUAAAGAAACCCCGGCUAACUCCGUG